AUGCAGUCGAGCGGACAGAAGGGAGCUUGCUCCCGGAUGUUAGCGGCGGACGGGUGAGUAACACGUGGGUAACCUGCCUGUAAGACUGGGAUAACUCCGGGAAACCGGAGCUAAUACCGGAUAGUUCCUUGAACCGCAUGGUUCAAGGAUGAAAGACGGUUUCGGCUGUCACUUACAGAUGGACCCGCGGCGCAUUAGCUAGUUGGUGAGGUAACGGCUCACCAAGGCGACGAUGCGUAGCCGACCUGAGAGGGUGAUCGGCCACACUGGGACUGAGACACGGCCCAGACUCCUACGGGAGGCAGCAGUAGGGAAUCUUCCGCAAUGGACGAAAGUCUGACGGAGCAACGCCGCGUGAGUGAUGAAGGUUUUCGGAUCGUAAAGCUCUGUUGUUAGGGAAGAACAAGUGCAAGAGUAACUGCUUGCACCUUGACGGUACCUAACCAGAAAGCCACGGCUAACUACGUGCCAGCAGCCGCGGUAAUACGUAGGUGGCAAGCGUUGUCCGGAAUUAUUGGGCGUAAAGGGCUCGCAGGCGGUUUCUUAAGUCUGAUGUGAAAGCCCCCGGCUCAACCGGGGAGGGUCAUUGGAAACUGGGAAACUUGAGUGCAGAAGAGGAGAGUGGAAUUCCACGUGUAGCGGUGAAAUGCGUAGAGAUGUGGAGGAACACCAGUGGCGAAGGCGACUCUCUGGUCUGUAACUGACGCUGAGGAGCGAAAGCGUGGGGAGCGAACAGGAUUAGAUACCCUGGUAGUCCACGCCGUAAACGAUGAGUGCUAAGUG
rnacentral:rRNA from 1 species